UCAGAGCCUUUUCUUCUCUUGCACGACGAACUCAGUGCGGCGGUGCGGCGAUUGCCCCGGUGAACUUAUUCCCUUCCGUCGAUGCCACGACGGUGAAGGCCUCCAUCUCAGUUUUUUGAUUCAAGCUUCCACGGUCUCCACUCUCAAAUAUCUCCUUACCUCUCACCGCCGUGAACCUUUUCGUCCCUCAAUCAGACACUCCAUCUCGUAUCCGUUAAACUUCUCCUCCGACAAGCAAGAGGCUCGAUGAAGAUAGCGAGAAAUCCAGAGUUGCAUGUUGAUGCAGGUGAAGAUGAAAUCGUUGCGUUGAAUUGCUACUGAUGGCGACGAAGGAUAUUGAUGCGUGGAAUCGUUGUGCGAUGAUGAGGGGUGAUGAUGAACGCGAUGCAAUGGAGAUUAUGCGGGGGACUUCUUGAAGAUGAAGAAUCAAGAUACAUUUAUGAAGAAUCUGUGAAGCUUUUUCUGAAUUAAGGUUCGGUGAAUUGGUUCAGAAAAUUGAAGGUCUUCAAGAAGAUGAUGAGGUUAUGGCGGUUAUGAAGAUUGCGGUCUUCUAGAGACUUGCAUGAUGAAGGUUCAAUGAAGACUCCAGAAUUUUGUUACGGUUAGUUUGGAAUUCUGCUCGCUAUCUCCAUUUUCCGGAUUUCUGUUUUCCAUCUCUUUUUCUUCUUUCUGUUAGAAACCAUUCCGCGCUGGAAAUGGUUGGAUGCUUGGUUGAAUUUGAGAGGAGGUGAAGAAGAUUGGAGAAAAGGAUUCAAGAUUCGUGUGAUCUUUGCAGAGAGGUCGAAGAUUCGUGACUGAAGAGGAGAAGUAUAGAUGGAGAUUGGAGAUGAUGAUAGAUGAAGGUGAAUGGUGAGAAGAAUCCAGAUUCCGAGAUGUUGAAGAAUGAUAAGAGUUAUGGCGGUGAUGAGUGAAGAAGUGGAGAAGUUAGUUACGUUCUGUUUCGGUUAUCAGUGAGUUCUUUCUUCUUAAUUCCCUUGUGCAUUUCUCUUGCAAUUUUCUGUUAUGUAUUUCUGGUUGCCCCUUUUUUUUCUGAUAUUUUUUCCUUUUGUCUAUUUUUCUGUGAACCUGUGAACCGGUUCCUUAUUGUGCACUUGCAUGCCUGGUUUUGGAUUAUCUUGAAGCAGCUUGAAACAUAGAAAAAUUAGGAUGGACUUUUUCUUUUGUAAUUCAUUAAUGAAUGGCAUGGAUUUUG